CUGGGUGUGGAUAGUGUGUUUUCUGUACCAACAUGCUCUGCUGGCAUUCUACCACAGCACUCCUUACCCCUGCGGCUUCAACUGCCUUUUAUGUCUGUCAGUUGGUGCCUCCUCCCAAAUGUGGCUUUCAGUAUCUGGAUGAAAUCUGUUCACAAGGACUUAAGGUGGUCUACGGAAUAGAAAGAGAGGGAGCUACACAAAGUCUGUGACAGCAAAACAGGAAGAUUUCUAUCAUCAAAAUUAUACAUUUUGUUUCUUGAUUUGUCACUUUGAAAGUUGGUUUCUUUUUCAGUACUUGGCUGUAACUAUUCAACAUUUUUUCUGGAAGUACUGUCUAACAAAGGAAUUAAGGAAACUGAAGUUCACAAGAAAAACUGUUGCCCCUAAACAGGAAUGGAAUGAAUAAAGCUGCAUUUCAAAAGGAUUAUAAGGCUGCCUUCCUCCUGCUAGGCUGAUCAAGUGACGGAAAGGGAAACUGCCAGAUCCCUAGGAUCUAAAGUGUGGGUGGAAAGUCUAGCAGUCUUCAUAAACCAAGCAAAAGAGAAUCUUGAUAGGAGUUACAUUAUAGGGGAACCUCUGUCUUUCCCCCUCACCCUGAUGGUACCUUUGCUCACAAGCCCUUUCUUUACCUGUUGAAAAUAUAUGCAAGACAUUCCAUGAAGUACUGCGGAGCUGGUUACAGAGAGAAAGAGAGAGAGGCUUUGAGCUCGUCUGCAGACAGUGCUGACAGACACUUUGAAACUACAGAAGCAAAGCAAGUAUCCAGAUGAUGGCUGUGCGUCAUGUCAGUCAAGCGGAUUAGAAAAUGGAGGCUGCCAGGCAGAGGGCCACCCGUGUUCCCAAUGCUCCAGAGCGCACCAGCACAACAGUGACAUGAAAAUUAAUGAGCGAAGCCUUAAAAUGUCACAGUGCAGAGAUCUGAAGCUGAAUUGUAAACCCACACGGACAAGAGGAGUCAGAAGACGGUUUCAGAACAGCUCAGAAGAAGGCAUUUAUGAGAUCUCAAACGACUCUUACAUCACAGACUGUUCCACAGAAAAUAAAACUGGGGAGGACUUUAAGGCCUGCACAAAACCCCAGAACAGAACUGUGAGUUCUAGUACAGAUCGUAACUGCUUUAUAAAAAACCGAAAGCCAAAGCGUGUUCACAGGCCGCACAUACAUCCUCCUGCAGCACUAACGGAGAGACAGCGUGCUCUGUUGGAAAAGACUCUGACUUGCAAGUUAGGUUCUGUGUCUAAUAGCUCACGGCAACAUUUAAGUGAUGUUUAUGAAACUAGUUCAGUUCCUUGCCUAGACUCUGUAGCAAUGUGCCACACAGUCAACAAACCAGUCAGCAUAAAGAAAGAAGAGAAAGAUUUGUCACUUAAGUUCACCUCUGGCUAUGCCAAGAAUGCUAGGACUUCUGUGAGUAUUACAAAAAUAAAAGAUGACAGGGCUGCUAAAGUUUUCUCCAGUGCAACCCUAAUUUCUGAAAAUUGCAAUAUUAAUAACAUUGUAGCAGUCCUAAAAUGCAAAUGUGGAAAUGGACAAGUUAAUAUGUAUCCUGUGGUGCAGUUAAUAGACAUCAUGAAAGAUUUUAGCCACUUAUCUGACUUGAAAAACAGUGGUGUCCACAUAGACUGUGAUGGGCUAAAACUGGAUCAGAUCCCCACUGAAAACAGCAAAUUUAAAACUGCAGAGGCAGAAGACAGAGGUCUACAAUACAGUUUCUUUUCUUCUGCGACUCUUGCCAACAGUAUCCGAAUCCCUAAGGCAUGUCCACAGAAAAAAUCGGAAUCUCAUGUAUUAAAAAUUCAAAAUCUGCCACGUCGCACAAGUAGGAGAAGAACUUCAGUGCAUCAAAACUGGGAUCUAUGCUUAGAAGAUGUAGUGAAUGAAAACAAGUCCAAAGGUGUAAGUGACUUGCCUUCAGAGUUGCCCAUUACCAUCAGCACUGAUGGUACUGUCACAACUCCUGUGUGCGAGAAAGCUGUGAAUUCCAGUAACCUAGAAUGCAAUGUAAAAGAACAUAGAGGCAUUUCCACAAAGAGAAGUCAAAAAGAACUAAGCAGCAUAACCAUUCGGUUUGGAAAACGCAGAUUAAAAAAGCAAGCAGUCACCAGUGAGUUGACCUUAUUAGAUAAUCCACCAUUAGUUGUACCAUUAGCUAGCCAGACAAUGGAAAGUGAUAGUUUAGUAUUAGGUGAUAAGCCUGUAGCAGUAGUAAGUGGGACAACCACAUUAUGUAACCAGGUAGAAGCAAGUGACUCGGCUGUAGCAGAUGAUCAAUCUGAACACGAUUAUUUUUCUGUAGAUAACCAGACAGUAGAAAACAACAUUACCUUAUUCAAUAGCCAGCCAGCAGCACAUGACCACAUUCCAUUAGAUAAGCAGACAGUAGCAGUUGAAGGGUCUCUGUUACAUAAUGAAACCUUAGUUGUUGACAGUUCUUCAUCAACAACAGUAGUAGAUUGUUUUCCAUUAGCUACUCAGACAAGAUCAGACGACACUGCCUUAUUAGGUAACCAUACUGCACUGCUUAAUAAGUCAUUAGAUAAACUAGCAUCAGCAAAGAACGCUGCCUUAUUAGAUAAUCCGGCAUUAGCAAAUAAUAGUUUACCCCCAGAAAAUCAGACAGUGGAAUGUGACAGAUCUCCAUUUUGCAGUUCGACUGUGACAGAGAGCACUGCCAUAUUGGAUAGUCAUACAGAAGAGUGCAGCAUCUCUUUAUUAGCUGAUUACUCAGUGGAAAAAAGCAGUGCUUCAUCAGAUAAUCAAGCAGUAGAUAGUGAAUGUCCUUUAGUGGAUAAGCUUACAGAUACAAGUAGCAGUACCAUAUUGAGUAGCCAGGAAGUUGUAAGCAGUGGUGCGUCCGUCGAUAACCAUUUGACACCAAGUAGUUGUUUCCCAUUGGAUAAUGAUGCUGAAGCUAUGGUUAGUGUCCCAGUAGAUAACCAGAUAAUUGUAAAUGAUGGUUUGGCACUAGAUAGUUUGUUAACAAAUGAUGUGUCUCUCUUUGAUAAUGAGGUUGCAUUGGACAUGGCUCUGUUAGAAUUUCAGAGAGAGGCUAAAAAAGUUGCUGGACCAGACAACCAAGUGGUUGCAGGCAGUGAGGCACAUUCACAUGCCCAAAUGGUCAUACAAAGUGCUGCUCCAUCAGACGUCCUGAUAGUAAAAAACACUACUCCCUUAGAAACCCAUACAGAAAAAAGUGCCACUGCAGAACUUGACAGACAGACAGUGUUGAACAAAGAAACUCAACUGGAUAACUGGGCAACAGGCAGCUUGCAUUCUUCCUUGGAUAACUUGUUAGCAGAAAGUACUAAUACUACUUCAAAUAACCACACAGUAGUUGGUGAUGUGGCUUCACUUGAUGCCCCUGAAACCACCUCAUUAAUUAAUCACACAGUAGAAGCUGAGAGCAUCCUGUUAGAUAAGAAUGUAAAAAGUGAAGGCACUCUGUUAGAUAAUCACACAGUAGUAACCGAAGAUGCCCUACUAAUUAACCAGGCAGUAGCAAAUGAAAACAUCUCAUUAGAUAACCAGACAGUAGCAGCUGAAGGCACCACAUUAGAUAACCAGAGAGUAGCAAAUGAAAGUGCCACAUUAGAUAACUAUAACAUCAUAACUGAAGACACCCAAUUAGAUUACCAUACAGUAGGAACUGAAAGCAUCCAGUUAGAUAACCAGACGGUAGAAGGUGAUGGUGCCCAGCUCUGUAAACAUGAUUUAGAAACUGAAAGUACCCAGUUUAGUAACCAAACAGCAGAAGAAAAUAGAGCCAUUUUAGAUAAUGUGACAGCUUUGUUUUGUAGAACACCUUUAAAUAGCCACACUGUGUCAAAUGCUGGUCAGUCAUUUUGCAGAGAGAGAAAAAUGGAUAACAGGCCAUUGGAAAACCAAUCUUCAACAAGUGACAGCUUUACAUUUGGUAAUCCAGAAAUAGCAAGUUAUGCUUCUUUGUUUGGUUUUCAGACAUUGGCAGGUAGCAGUAUCACACUGGGUAACCAAACAACAGCAGGUAAUGAGCAGACAGAAUCAAGUAACAGUAACCAACUGAAUACCCAGGCAGUAUUAACUGCUGAUGCCCCUUCCAUUACCAAAAGAGUAGGAAGGAGACCUGGUCCAAUAAGGAGAAGAAAGAGAGGAGCCCGGAAAAUUGGUCCAAUAAGGAAACAGACAACAGCAAGGCGAACAACUACAGUAAGAAAACCAAGAGUAGGAAGGAAAAGGAAACAGGCAGUAGAAGGUCUGUUUGCCCAAUUUGAUAAUCUGAUAUUUCCAGAUCAGACUGCCCCCCCAGGUCACCAGAUGUUUGGGGGCAGUAGCUCCACAUUUGAUAACCAGUUAAAUGUUAGUGGUAUUGGCCAGUUAGAUAACACACCAUUUUUUAGUAACAGUGCAUCUUUAAUAAACCAGUCAGUAGUCAAUACCUACAGUUCACUUGGCUACCAGCCAACACUUAGCGGUACCCAGGUAGGGAACCAGACAGUUUUAAGUGGAAAUGCUUUGCUAUCUAAUCAGACCUUAAUGAACACAAGUUUAAUGCACUUAUCAGAUGCCCAUAGAAAAUACGCACUUAGAACAACAAACAGACCAAAAAUUGUGUAUAGACGAAGGAGGUAUACAAAGACAAAAAAGACAGAAGACAGUUGUUGCAACUAUGAGAAAAAAUUGUCAACUUCAGGAUUAAAUGAAGAACCAAAAGAUACUUCAGGGAUAAACCCUGAAGUGGAACAGCCUGGAGACCAAGGAAAACGUAAACGCAGAGGAAUUCGGAAGAUGGUUGUAAAAGUGCACAAGAUUCCUGUAUUUGUUGGAAAGCGGAACAAAAUGACCUACAAGAUGUCUUCUCUCAGCAGCUUAGGUGACAAGAUGAUUAGUCAUUUUGGUGGUAAGGAAGCUACAUCAAGUCUUAUGGAUUCCACAGCCCUCCUUAAGAUGAAAAAUCAUGGCAGAAAUGUAAUGGUAAUGUUUCCUCCAGGAGAUCUUCCUGUAAUACUUAAAAGAAAAAGGGGGAGGCCUCCCAAAAAUCCUCUCCUUGGUUUUGAGAAAGCUAAAGAAGUCAAACAAGAAGUAAAGAAAAGACGAAGAAAAGUAAAACUUCCACCGCCUCAACCGUCAUACACUGUGGAUACCAGUGAUAAUAAAUCUGAUUAUGCAGAUGUUUUAUCCAAGCUAGCCUUCUUAAAUAAACAGAAUCAGACCUUUGGGAGAUGUUCUCCACCUAGGUGUUGGACACCUAGUGAUCCUGUCUCUGUUAGUCAGACUCCAGAUACAAACAAUGUGUCUCAUUUUCUGCAAAAGGUGCAAAGCUUUCGCAGACGUGGUGGUAAGGCAGGUUUUUGUGGAGGGAGAGGUGGCAGUCAUGCUACUGAAACUUUGAGAUGUUCUUUCAGUGAUUUCUUUGAAGGGAUUGGAAAGAAAAGAAAGGUCAGUGCAGGCACUGAUCACCCUCGUAAACGAGGCAGGGUACAGAAAGAACCAAGUACUAAACCUGUUCGCCGAAGACGGCCUCGAAAAAAUGGAGCAUUACUUAAGGAACCAACUUUCCAAAACUCUGAAGGAGCUUUGGAUUGGGUGAGGGACAGUCGAAAUAAUUGGCCACCCAAACAGGAAAGUUCCUCAAACCACCAGCUAGGGAAUUGUAGUUAUGAACAGAUUGAUUCAAGAUCUUUUCCUAGUUCUUCCAGAGAUUCUAGUUCUGGAGAUCGACAAGGCUGUUACUCAUCAAAUAGUCUGUCUAAUCAGUCACAGAUGAAUCAGGACCCACAUGGAGCAUUUGCUGGCUAUUUUCGAUCCUUGCUUGAUUCAGAUGAUUCUUCGGACUUGAUAGACUUUAACACAUCUGGAGCUAGACAAGAAGUAUGCAAAGCACAAGCUGGUUACACAGCACAGAAUUCAAUGCAGACUCAAAGUCGUGCGCCAUCUUACCAGAAUCAGUGUCCUAAACCAUCCUCUAAUAACAGUGAUAACUCUUUUCAGUCCACUCUUCAGAUGAGGCAGCCAUAUCCACAAAGUGGUAACCUAAGCUUCAGCAUGUCUCAGAGUCCCUCAGAAUGUCGCAAUCCAGAGACUUUCCGAAAACUGGUUUCAUCACCUUCCAUUUCUAGAUCUCCCACUACUCACCCCCCAUCUGGUAACUACAAUCAGUACCCAAAUUUUAAUGCAACUCAAAACACAGCCACUUCUAAUGUCUUUCAACAGUCUAAACCUUAUGCCUCACAAGAUUGCCAAGGCAGCAAAGACUGUAGCUUUUCAUUCAGCAAUACCAGCAAUGUCUGCUCUUCUCCAAGUAGUGCUCAGAAUGUUGCUUUUGGUUCUCAUACUUCAGUUUCUCAUCUGCCUUUAAACAAGACACCAUAUCUUAGUAAUUCAGAGUCUGGGCAAUUUUCUUCGGUUUCACACACCCACAUAAGGUGUGAUUCCCAGUCAAAUCCAGUGUCUUCUGGAAGCUUUAUGCCUCAAAAAACUGGAAACUUAUUCCACACUUCAACUGACAGCUGCCGACCAUUUGCUAAUGCAUCACAGUGGCCACCCAGGCCAAAUUAUAACAAUGCUGAUUGGAUCUCUGAAGGUUCAGCCCAACACUUUAAUCCAAUGUUUGACUAUGGCAUGAAUGAGUCAAAUGUCAUACUGGAUAUUUCAAAUUACACCCCACAAAAAGUGAAGCAAAGAUCUGUUUCAGAAACAUUUUCUGAAUCUUCUUCGGACAGCACACAGUUAAAUCUGCCUAGAGGAUAUAGAAGAACCAACAGUGAGGCUUCAUCAAGUGAAGGAGGACAGUCCAGUCUUUCCAGUCUGGAAAAACUGAUGAUGGAUUGGAAUGAGACUUCCUCAGGUCCAUCAUACAGCUGGAACCAGAGCAUUCUUUUCCAGAAUAAUCCAAAACCAGGAAGGGGGCGGCGAAAAAAAGUGGACCUGUUUGAUUCAUCUCAGUUAAAUUUUACUUCUGCUUCCCCAUUCCCUUCCAAAAGAAAUUCAGUGCCAAGACAGCCCAGAAAUCCUAGGGGAGGAGGUACAACGAACAGAAAGGAAAGAGGAACUGGAAGGUCAAAGUUUUCCCAGAAGUCACGGCCAGCAAAUGCUCUUUUUCAAGAAAGUACAGAUUUUGGCAUGGAUUAUUACAGUGGAGACAGUAGUAUGUCUCCUUUGCCAUCACAGUCACGGAAUUUUCACAUGAAUGAGAGAGAAUCGUGCGAGUUUUCCGGGCCUUAUUCUGUUAAUCCAUCUACUCCUUCUGAUGAAACAUUUGCUCAGUGUUUUCCAAGUGAAGCAUCAUCUGUUUCUCCUAGCAUGAAUCAGGCAGAUUUAGAUGUCAAGAACUUCCAUCCCCAUCCCCACCCACCUCCUCAUCCAAUGGUCAUGCCAAAACUUCACCAUUCCUUUGAGCAGGGUCACCAGAAAACUUUUUCAAACUGUUCACCUGUUAUGGCCUUCAAGGAUGACUUUUUGUCUCUUGAAGGCAGGAAGUUACCAGCUUGUGAGACCUUAAAGACAAAUGCACAUGUAGCAAGUGUUGUACAACCAACAUCACAUUUGGCUUGUAGAGAUCUGCCAGCACCACAUAUACGUUAUGAUUCCCCAACCCUUAAAAACACAAACUAUUGGUAUUCUCAAAGUCCCAUGGCUGGCAGUCCACAGUACAGUAACAAACUUGGAACGGGGGUCUUGAUGGACAUUAUGGAAAGGAAUGAGCUUUCUUGUCUUAGUCCACAUGUAUCUAGUCCACAAGUAGCUAGUCCACUUACUUUAUCAAAACCUGACAAAGAACCUCAUGAACUUGGAAGAGUCCAUAGAUCAAACUACAUUUGUCCUUUAACAAAUGAACUUAACCUUUCUCCUGUGCCAAGUGACCCUGUGUUACCAAUGCAAGAAAAUUAUCGGUACUCAAAUUUUCAGUUCCAUGGACAAUUGAAUGCCCCUCCAAAGAGUGGAUAUAUGGGUCAAGUCUUCGAGCAGCAUCCUGAGGACACCUUCACAGUGACCUCCCUGUAGUUUGUACUGCAGUGUUACAGAGACCCCAAGGUAUUUGUUUCAGGGGUUAAAUCAAUGCAACACUUUUCUGGAACCGUUUUGAACUGUUUAUCUACGUUUAAGUAAUCCAGUUUUUUGAACAAUUUUAAAAACAAAAAAGGAAAACAAAUUUAUAUAUAUAUAUUUUUGGGAGGGGGGAAUGCUUGAUGCCGAGCCACCUGCUGCAAACCAUAGCAGAGACAAUCGAAUUACUGAAGUACCACUGGCAGUCAGAGACCCUGAGCCCAUUGUGUGAGGAGGACCCUGGGACUUCUGUUUCCGACUUUGACUUAUCAUCAUCUGUCUUUGGUGGCAUAAAUGAAAAGUAAAGAUUAUUCUUUUUAUAAAGACUUUUAUAUCAUUGUGAUGCCAUCCUGUUGAGAAAAUAUUUUUGUGUUCCAGCUCCCCUCUCCCAGCUCUGGGUUCCUGAGAACCACUGGAAUGGCCGUGUAAGGAAAAGCUCCCCACCAUACCACACGAAGCUCCCCUGAGACAUUAUAAAAGACUUGACAGUAUUGUAUAAGCCUGCAUGUACAUGUAUGUGUAUACACACAUGUGCAUGAAUAAAAAAAGAAAAAAAAAAACUUGAGACACUCGCAACUCUUUUAUAUACUGAACCAACUAAAGGACUUCAAUUGAAAUGAUACCAGCAAAUUGUAAAUAGUUUUUAAGGAAAAAUAUUAUUCAGUAUGCACUGAAAACUUUAUUUACUGAACAACAAAGGUUAUAACAUAUUUAUUGUAUAUACUAUUUUAUUUUAAAAUGUGUUAUUGUAAAUUGCAUUCUGUACACAAGCUGUAAUUCUGUGAAGUGGAUUCAAGCAUGGGCUUUUAUUUUUCAUUUAUUUCUUCUGUUGCUUUAGUUGCUGGUUUUGUUUAUUUGUCUAUUAAUUUUUUUCAGUGUGCACCCAAAGAUAAAACCUUUGAAAAAAAGGUUUCUUAGGAGAGUUAUAUGUGCGUGUAUGCAUAGAUGGUGGGGAUGGGAAUCACAACUUUGAGUGAGUGCGUUGUUUGUUGGGAGAGGGGAGAACAGACAACUGUGGGAGGGAUAAGGGGAAUGGUGGCUUCAUACAUUUUUUUCCUGUUCUAAAACACAGUAUUUUCCUUUUCUGUACAGCAACACCAUGAGCUCAGGGUGUGAAAUGUUGGUUGACUUCGUAGCUUUUUUGAUUAAUGUAUUGUUAAGUGGUUUGUGUGAAAUAUUGUAUUGUCUGUUACUGAUCAUAACCCGCAGUGCUUGUAAGGAAAUACACUUGGAACUUAGUCCAACAAACUA